CAGGCAUGUACCACAACACUUGGCAAUUUAUAAAUGUUUAAUAUUUAAACAUUCAUAUGAUAAACACUAUUUUUAAUAUUUUAUUAUGAAGGCUUUAAAAAAGUAUAUAUAAAAGCUAAAAGAAUUGGUUCGAGUCUCUUAGUACAUUUCAACUGUGCUUCAAAAAAAAGCUAAAAUAAUUGUAUAAUGAACAUUUAUGUACUGACCACUUAUUUACACCAGAUGUUGGCAGACAGGGGCCAGAUCUAAUUGCUGGGUCUCUUUUGUAAAUAACGUUCUAUUGGAACACAUCCCUGUCAUGAUGUAUCUGUUCCUCUGGGCAUGACAGAGAAGCUGUGGUGGCCUGCAGAAGACCCUCAGCCAUAGUCAUGGCAAUGAGCUGAGAAGCACAAUGAUAAGCCAGGAGCUAGGUCCGGGACAUUAGUGGCAAUGAGAUGGUUGGUGCGGUUUGCAGGAUGCCAGAAUGUGGAGGAGGGAGUUGGACUUCUUGGUGGUGCAGUUGCCCAGAAGUUGCCCAAAGGACUCCCCAGUGGUACAGCUGUCUGUGAGUGGCCUGCGCUCCUCUAAAUACCACUAAUAAAUUCAUCCGUCUGACUAUUUAUGUGAUACAAUAACAAAUCCGAGUGGUUCAAACAGAAAAUGUAAAUCCUAAAGUCCAUGCUAUGUACAUUUACAUAUCCAGUCAUCAACCCACUAUAGACUUGAGAGUGGAUUUCAGGGUCAUAUUUACCCACAUAACUCCCAAAAGCUCAUACCAAGAGAUAACAUUGAAACAAGUAACCGCUUAGCUAAUAUCAAACUCUGUAGUGGCUCUUCUGGACACAGGGCAUGUGACAUUCCAGUAAGGGAGGGGGUGGGCCAAGAUUUCCAGAGGGAGAGUGAGCAGAGCAGAUGGAGAAUCAUUAAUCCACAAAUCCGCGAUCAGCAAGCUGAAAGAUUCUAAAGCAUGUUUACCAUGAUCAAGUAGAUAAAAGGGAGCCCUGUGACCACUCAGGCGGAACAUCAAAGCAACCAUCACAGCCUUGCGCCCAGGUGGGGUGCCUUCCUCUGAAGCCUUCCGUGACUACAGAGACACCAUCAAGAAGAGUAAAUGACCCCUUUUGUAAUGGUCAUUCCUGGUUGUCAACUUGAUUAUAUCUGGAAUGAACUACAGUCCAGAAUCGGAGGGCUCACCUGCGAGAUCUCUGAGUCAACCUGGGACAAAGCAAGUCCCAGGUCAAGAUGUGGUGGUACACGUCUGGGCCACAUCUUCUGCUGGAGGCCUACAUAAGGACAUUGGAAGAAGGAAGACUCACUCUUAUUCACCUGCUUGCUCUUACUUGCCAGGACAUCUGUUGGAACCUACUUACUCAGGAUUCCAGCCUCUACAGAAGACCAGCUGAAACAACUAGCCUCGUGGGACUGAGCAACUACUAGAUUCUUGGACUUCCCGUCCACAGCUGCCCAUUGUUGGGGAGUUGUCCUGCAGCACAUCUGUUGGAACAUCUGUGGGAAAUGUUCGUGGGACAUUUACAUCUACAUGUAUACUCUUACACACGUGCACAAACGUGAACAUGUACACACACAUACAUAUCACACACAUGUGUGAAAAUGCUUAUGUACACAGGAAGAAAGAAAGUAACAAAGAAAGAAAGAAAAAGAAAAUGAGUUGGUAACUGGGGGACCCCAGGGUGAAUUUCCCACAAAAGGAGUCCAGCCUCCAGGUGAGAUACUGAGCAAAUGCUUGGACAACCCCACUGUGUAAACCACACAGCCAGCAGCCCCUCAUCUGUGGGGUACUUUUUGAGCCUAAAAUAAAAGAAAUAUCUAGAAUAGUCUCAAGGGUAAAGGGCUAUGGCUUAUGACUCCAGGUAACCUCAAGCAUGAUGCUGGACACCAUGCACCAAUUAACGAGCCCUGGUUGAUAGAUUUAUUAUGGGAAGACGAGUAAGACAAAGCAACGUUUGAGUGCUGCCAAGCCACACUUGGAUAGAGCCCACAAACAAUAAAAUUCUUCAUAACUUCUGGUUUAGUCCAUCUUCAUUGACGCAACACCCAAGGAAAAAACACUGAUUCCUUUCCAGUACCUUCAAUCCUGUAAUGAAAGGCAGUAAAAACCAGCUAGGAGCCUGAAGGAGAGGCUUGGACUAUUAAGCUUACAGGUUACCUUGACUUCUUGUAGGAAAGAAUACUGUUUUCUGUUUAAAAAGUCCUCUUGAAGUUGAAAUAGAAAUCUGUUUUGGCAGCAUUAAUCAACACCAGGGGGCAGGAGCGUAAGCAGAGUCAAUACAGCUUUUCUAGGACGGUGGUGGGGCUGGGAUGGGGAGGGGUGGGGGCAGCCUGAGAACAUUUAAAAAGCUUCCAACGUGGUUCUUGGCACCCAGCUAAGAGUCUCUCUGAAUUACUUGAAUCUGAAAGCUUGAAAACCUUUUCAAAUUUAUUUGUUAAUUACAGAAGCCUUCUGUGUUCAUUGUGUGUGUGUGUGUGUGUGUGGAACCCAAAAAACCAAACCAAAACGAACCAAAACAACAACAACAACAAUCUCCAAAAACCACGAAGAAGCAAAACAAAAACAUUUUACCACGAGUACUGUCACCAUCCCCUAGUAAGCACUAACAUUUUGGUGAAGAAUAUUCUAGAGCCUGUCCCUGCAUAUCUUUCCCUCCUAAGUAGAAUCAAACUGCAUUGUUCUUACAGUGUGCUGUUUCAUAGCUUUAGCUGGUAAUAGUCACCCUUUAUCUCAGCAUAUACGGUUUGCGUAGAGAAAAGGCCUAUCCAAGAUUCUAGUUUUGGCUCUGACCUAACCAGCCCUUGGCUACCAGCUCUGCUUCCUCCUCGGGGUUUAGAUUUAUCAACUGUGAAACACAAAGUGUUUGAAGCCAACAAUACACAAGGCGCCUCCUGUCUUUAUCCUUGUAACUGACCAUUAAUGAAAGGAAGCCAGAAUGGGGCAGACGGCAGUUAUCCUGCAUGCAGGUUCUGAUCCCAGAGAGCCACAACUCUACUUGGAAGGUCCCGGCCAGGUUUCUUGAUCUCCUAAUGGUUUUCCUUUAUCUAAGAUGGUAUUUAUGACAGGCAGUUCCAUGUAGGAUGCUGUAAGUAUUUAACAGAUGACAUGGUGCGCAUGCUUGGCCCAUGAUAAGACUCAAUGAGCCAUGCAUGGUGGUGACUGCUGCUUCUCUCAGGUACUAACUUUGCUGAGGUGAGAGUAGAAAUGAGCACAGGAGGAUCGAGUAUUGAACUGAGCUCUAACGUGGGAUGUUGCUGAUACACACAAGUUUAUUCCUCAAAGCAAAUUUACCAUCUCCAUAUUGCACAACAGGAAUCUGAGGCUAGAACUUGCCUGGGUUCAGGUGAGGAUUAAAACCCUAAACAUUGGCCUUUCACGUGGUCUUGGCCAUCUUGAGAGGGGCGUUAGUUCUGCUGUUGGUCAGGUGCUUUAUUCAGAAGUAAAGCCCAAGAGAGAGAGAGGGAGAGAGAGGGAUGGUCCAGCGGCUAAGAGCACUUGUUACCCUUGGUAGAGGACCAGGGUUUGGUUCCCAGCACCCACGUGGUGGCUUACAACCAAUGACAGGGUAUCCAGUGCCCACCUCUGACCUCUGAGGGCACUACAUGUAUGUGGUAUGCAUACAUACAGAGGGGUAAAAAACACUCAUAUGUCUAAUAUAAAAAUAAAUCUUUAAAAAGUCCAAUUAUCAAGUUUCUUCCUCUGUGAUGUUCAGUAGACGUUUCUUUAAAAAAAUAUUUAUUUUAGUUUUACUUUGUGUUGGUUAUGUGCACAUGUGUGCAGGUCCUGCAAAAGCCAGAGGAGGGCGGUAGAGCCCCUGAAGCUGGAGUUCCAGGCUGUGUAUGAGCGCCUGAGCUGGGUGGUACGACCUGCUCUCUGGUCUGUGGAAAGAAGAGCAAGGGACUCCUACCCUCUGAGCCGUUCUCCAGCCCCAUAGCAUGGUUCUUAUUCUUUACUCCAUUGUAACAAUUCUUGAGUCUGACAGUUACAUGACAGAGGAAUUUUUUGCACAUUCUAAUUGGCUUCUAGAUAGCCAAGCAGAGCUAGGUCAUGGACUUUGUAAAAAUAAUCAGUAUUCAUACGCAUAGAACAACAAGUAGGGGGAAAAAGGGCCAUGAAUUUGAAAGAGACCAAGGAACGUAGGAAUGUUCGGAGGGAGGAAAGGAAAGGGGGAAGAACAA
rnacentral:lncRNA from 1 species